CUAACAAGGAUUCCCCUAGUAACGGCGAGUGAAGCGGGAAGAGCUCAAGCUUAAAAUCUCCGUGCAAGUUUUGUGCGGCGAAUUGUAGUCUAUAGAAGCGUGGUCAGCAUGGGCACUUGGGGCAAGUUCCUUGGAAGAGGACAGCAUGGAGGGUGAUACUCCCGUUCAUUUCUGAGUUGCUCGUGCGUACGACCCGUUUUCUUUGAGUCGCGUUGUUUGGGAAUGCAGCGCAAAGUAGGUGGUAAAUUCCAUCUAAAGCUAAAUAUUGGUGCGAGACCGAUAGCGAACAAGUACCGUGAGGGAAAGAUGAAAAGAACUUUGAAAAGAGAGUUAAAGAGUACCUGAAACUGCUGAAAGGGAACCGAAUCGUUUCCAGUGUCUAUAAUCCGUGGUAUAUUUCAUUGGCGAGUGUGUGCGUGCGUGUGCUGUGGCAGCGGCUUUUUUGGCUGCGCUCGGCGUGUGUGCUGUGUGUGCUUGCUGGUGCUCUGUGCUGCGGUGGGACGUCAAGGUCAGUUCGUAUGCUGCGGGAAAUGGCUGCCGAGGAGGUAGGGCUUACGCUUGCGUUUGUCUGUUAUAUCUUGGUGGACGAGUAGUCGCGGUUGGGACUGAGGUGCCUACAACGUGCUUUUGAGUGGGUUUGUGUCUCCGUGUGCGCCGUGUGCGGAUAGCUUGCUAUGCGUGUGUGGUUGUGUGUGGAUUGAUGCGAGCUUUAACUUGUUGCCGUUCGGGACGUUGACGAAAUGGAGCGAUUCGACCCGUCUUGAAACACGGACCAAGGAGUCUAACAUGUGUGCAAGUGUUAGGGUGUGGAAACCCCAGCGCGAAAUGAAAGUGAAGGGCAGCGUAAGUUGUCUGAGGUAGGAAAUGCUGCGGGCUUCGGUCUGCGGUGUGGCACUAUCGACCGAUCAUGAACCUUCGUGGUGAAAGAUUUGAGUUUGAGCACAUAUGUUGGUACCCGAAAGAUGGUGAACUAUGCCUGAGUAGGGUGAAGCCAGGGGAAACUCUGGUGGAAGCUCGUAGCGAUUCUGACGUGCAAAUCGAUCGUCAAACUUGGGUAUAGGGGCGAAAGACUAAUCGAACCAUCUAGUAGCUGGUUCCCUCCGAAAUUUCCCUCAGGAUAGCAGCAACUUAUUUACGAUAGUUUUAUGAGGUAAAGCGAAUGAUUAGAGGAUUCGGGGAAGAAACUUCCUCGACCUAUUCUCAAACUUUAAAUCUGUAAGACCUGCAGGUUUCUUAAUUGAACUUGUGGAUGUGAAUAUCAA
rnacentral:rRNA from 1 species